CUUUUUUGUCUGUUUUUAUUCUGAGGAUAUCAUAAACUUCACCCCUGGAAAGUUUCCGUAAAUUCUCAUUCCCAGAACAAUAUUGAUGAAUCACCUUGAAUCUUAUUUUUAUAAUGUCCUUUAGAUGAGUGCAAAGAUUUGAUGUGGAGUGUGAAAAACCAGUUGGCUUCUGCAGCAUGGAAGCUCACAGGUGCAGAUGAGAAGCAAGUGUUCAAGAGUUCAUCAGAUGACCUCAAAUCAUGGCAGUUGGCAAAAACAUGAAGCACAGCCAGGAGGAAAAACCUUUAAUCUUGCCCGUUUAUACUGAAGCAGAAGAAAGGUUUUGGUUAUACUAUCUAUCACUAAGCCAACUUAAAUACAGCAAAAGGACCACUUACAAAGAUUACUGGUUGGACCUUAGUCCUACUAACUGAAGGUUACAAAGUCCUGCAUUCCAAACAAGUGACUUUACUGGGGAAAAACAUUAUUCGUAUAAUGCAUGGUCCCAUGUAUUUCACACUGACUGAAACCUUAGGCCAGUCAAGGUGCAACCUUCCACUAGGAAAUAGGCCAUUGAAAAAGCUCUUGAAAUGCUUAGUUAAGUAGCUAAUUUGGAGUAGUAAUGUAAAUAGAUUUUCCUAUACACUGUUAAAAAUUGUGCAAAAUACGUUUUAUUGUAGUCGCUUAUUCUCUAUUUUCUAAAGGUCAAACUUUGGAAGGACCUAAUAGUAAUAGUGAUCUAGCAAACUUUGAGAUUUGUCUAGGCAUUUAAUAUAUGAUCUAACAUUCUUUAACAUUGAUUUA